AGGGUUUUCAAGGACCUGGAUAAUACGAAAUGAAAAGUCAGUUUUGGAAGAAAGAAAACAUAACACAGAAGGGAAAUUAAUUUUUGUGUGCUCCAUUUCUUUCAGAAUAUCAAGUCAAAGAAAACACUGAAAAACUACAAAAACAGAAACCAGUAUCUGUCUUUUCAACAACAGAUAAAAGCCCAGCAGCUGCUCUGGUCCUGGAGCAUACAAUUCCGUGAUGAAGUCAGAUUCCCACAUAUCUGCAUUCGAUUCCAAAGUGGAGCGUUUUAACGAACCAAAAGAGACCAUCCCUGGCCCUGGAGCAUAUCAGGUAUGUCAGUAC